rnacentral:sRNA from 1 species
CUGUUGCGUUAGCGAUUGAAAUGGCAUCCUUUUUAUGCAGAACUUGAAUCUGUAUCUUUAGGUUUAUUAAAUUGCUUUUGUUAUAAAUAAGCAGAAUCUUAACUAAAUUCUGCAUAAAAAGAUAUAAUGUAAAGCGCGACCCUUG